UAGGCAUCAGGAUAGAUAAUAAUAAGGUAUUUGAGGUAGAUAUGUACAUGAAGGCAGGGUAAAGUGUCUAGUCAUCAGGAUAGAUAAUAAUAAGGUAUUUGAGGUAGAUAUGUACAUGAAGGCAGGGUAAAGUGACUAGUCAUCAGGAUAGAUAAUAAGGUAUUUGAGGUAGAUAUGUACAUGAAGGCAGGGUAAAGUGACAUCAGGAUAGAUAAUAAUAAGGUAUUUGAGGUAGAUAUGUACAUGAAGGCAGGGUAAAGUGACUAGACAUCAGGAUAGAUAAUAAUAAGGUAUUUGAGGUAGAUAUGUACAUGAAGGCAGGGUAAAGUGACUAGUCAUCAGGAUAGAUAAUAAUAAGGUAUUUGAGGUAGAUAUGUACAUGAAGGCAGGGUAAAGUGACUAGACAUCAGGAUAGAUAAUAAUAAGGUAUUUGAGGUAGAUAUGUACAUGAAGGCAGGGUAAAGUGACAUCAGGAUAGAUAAUAAUAAGGUAUUUGAGGUAGAUAUGUACAUGAAGGCAGGGUAAAGUGACUAGACAUCAGGAUAGAUAAUAAUAAGGUAUUUGAGGUAGAUAUGUACAUGAA